CAAAAUCCUCACACAAUAUCAUCUCAUUACUUAAAUUAAUAGCUAAAAAGCAUCAAUUAUACAUAUUUUCUGAUUUCACUUCUCAAUCUACUACAAUAACAAAAAAUGUUAAAAAAAAAAUCUAACUUGUUUCUAUGUUUCUCAUCAAUUUCUCAACAACAUGGCAAAACCCACAACAUCAAAUCACAAAAACCACAUAAGAAAACACAUAUAUUA
rnacentral:lncRNA from 1 species